rnacentral:tRNA from 1 species
AGCUAAUAAAAAGGGAAUUGCAAACUCCCUAUUCCUCACAGGGUUAGCUU